GAGGGAGCGAAAGCSGUGGGGAGCGAAACAGGAUUASAUACCCUGGUAGUCCACGCCGUAAACGAUGAGUGCUAAGUGUUAGGGGGUUUCCGCCCCUUAGUGCUGCAGCUAACGCAUUAAGCACUCCGCCUGGGGAGUACGGUCGCAAGACUGAAACUCAAAGGAAUUGACGGGGGCCCGCACAAGCGGUGGAGCAUGUGGUUUAAUUCGAAGCAACGCGAAGAACCUUACCAGGUCUUGACAUCCUCUGACAAUCCUAGAGAUAGGACGUCCCCUUCGGGGGCAGAGUGACAGGUGGUGCAUGGUUGUCGUCAGCUCGUGUCGUGAGAUGUUGGGUUAAGUCCCGCAACGAGCGCAACCCUUGAUCUUAGUUGCCAGCAUUCAGUUGGGCACUCUAAGGUGACUGCCGGUGACAAACCGGAGGAAGGUGGGGAUGACGUCAAAUCAUCAUGCCCCUUAUGACCUGGGCUACACACGUGCUACAAUGGRCAGAACAAAGGCAGCGAAAWGGCGAGGUAGCCAAUCCACAAUCUGUUCUCAGUUCGGAUCGCAGUCUGCAACUCGACUGCGUGAAGCUGGAAUCGCUAGUAAUCSCGGAUCACAUGCCGCGGUGAAUACGUUCCCGGGCCUUGUACACACCGCCCGUCACAC
rnacentral:rRNA from 1 species